UAGGGGGUAGUGUAGUGGAAGCACCAAGAGUUUUGAUCUCUUUAGGUGGGGUUCGAGUCCCCUCUCUCUAA
rnacentral:tRNA from 2 species